rnacentral:misc_RNA from 1 species
AGAUUUAUCUGUUUGGAGAUUCCAUCACUGAAAUGUCAUUCGAUGAGGGUGGAUGGGGUGCUUCUCUCGUCAAACACUUCAAUCGCACCGCGGAUGUGGUGUUAAGAGGGUAUAGUGGGUAUAACACAAGAUGGGCAUUGAAAGUGUUGGAGAAAGUUUUUCCGGCGACUGAGAAAUCCGAAUCGGAAUCGCCAUUGGCGGUGACGGUUUUCUUUGGAGCGAACGAUGCGUCUCUUGCUGAUAGAUGCU